GGCUAAGAAGUCAUUUAGGGCCCCCUAGGGGGUUGGGUUAUGCCCACCAGGGAAGGGCGCCAAAUAUUGAGAUGUACUGAGGGUCUGGGGUCUCCAAGGUAUGGGUAGUGUCUAAUAAUGGGUGACAGGAGGCUGGGGGCAGUUAGAAGGACCUGGAACCAUCUAGAUGGCUUUAAUGUGACUGCAGGAAUGCAGUUUUGAUGCCUGGAGCAAAUUCGAAUGCCUUUGGGGUCAGAGCAGCUUGUGGCGAAUAAUAAUACGGAAAGAGAAUGAGGAAAUUUUGCCCAGCUUAGAUAUACUUGCCCUUCAGACAGUAAUUCAAAUGAAAAAUGUUUUAAGAUUCUGCAUUACCCUGGGGGUUAUUGAGAGAGUUAGAAUUAAUCUACAUUAGUCUGGAAGAGUCUGGAGGGUCAUCUAGACCCACUAUUACAGUGCUUUUCAAGGGGAAACCUGGGCCAUGUUGACCGUGAUCUGCAUUAAGAUACAUUUUUUCAUUGAGACCUGGUACAGACAGUCAUAAUGUAUUUAACAUUAUAUAACAUAAUGUAUUAACAUUA
rnacentral:lncRNA from 1 species